UACGAAGGGGGCUAGCGUUGUUCGGAAUUACUGGGCGUAAAGCGCGCGUAGGCGGACCUGCAAGUCGGGGGUGAAAGCCCGAGGCUCAACCUCGGAACUGCCUUCGAUACUGCGGGUCUCGAGUCCGGGAGAGGUGAGUGGAAUUCCUAGUGUAGAGGUGAAAUUCGUAGAUAUUAGGAAGAACACCAGUGGCGAAGGCGGCUCACUGGCCCGGUACUGACGCUGAGGCGCGAAAGCGUGGGGAGCAAACAGG
rnacentral:rRNA from 1 species